rnacentral:rRNA from 1 species
CGAACGGGGUCGGAACUUCGGUUCCGGCUUACGUGGCGCACGGGUGAGUAACACGUGGGAAUCUGCCCAUCUAUGGGGAAUAACUGCGGGAAACUGCAGCUAAUACCGCAUACGCCCUUCGGGGGAAAGGCUUCGGCCGUAGAUGGAUGAGCCCGCGUCCGAUUAGCUAGUUGGUGGGGUAAUGGCCUACCAAGGCGACGAUCGGUAGCUGGUCUGAGAGGAUGAUCAGCCACACUGGGACUGAGACACGGCCCAGACUCCUACGGGAGGCAGCAGUGGGGAAUAUUGGACAAUGGGCGAAAGCCUGAUCCAGCAAUGCCGCGUGAGUGAUGAAGGUCUUCGGAUUGUAAAGCUCUUUCGACGGGGAAGAUAAUGACGGUACCCGUAGAAGAAGCCCCGGCUAACUUCGUGCCAGCAGCCGCGGUAAUACGAAGGGGGCUAGCGUUGUUCGGAUUUACUGGGCGUAAAGCGUGCGUAGGCGGCUUAUCAAGUCAGAAGUGAAAGCCCGGGGCUCAACUCCGGAAUGGCUUUUGAGACUGGUAGGCUGGAGUUCGGGAGAGGGUAGUGGAAUUCCCAGUGUAGAGGUGAAAUUCGUAGAUAUUCGGAGGAACACCAGUGGC